AGAGGGUGCAAACGUUGUUCGGAAUUACUGGGCGUAAAGCGCGUGUAGGCGGUCCUGUAAGUCGGGUGUGAAAGCCCUGGGCUCAACCCAGGAAGUGCACUCGAAACUGCAGGACUUGAGUCUCGGAGAGGGAAGCGGAAUUCUGGGUGUAGAGGUGAAAUUCGUAGAUAUCCAGAGGAACACCGGUGGCGAAGGCGGCUUCCUGGACGAGUACUGACGCUGAGACGCGAAAGCGUGGGGAGCAAACAGGGAUUAGAUACCCUGGUAGUCCACGCCGUAAACGAUGAGUGCUAGAUGUCGCGGGCAUUGACCCCCCCCCUGCGGUGUCGCAGCUAACGCAUUAAGCACUCCGCCUGGGAGUACGGCCGCAAGGCUA
rnacentral:rRNA from 1 species